GACGAACGCUGGCGGCGUGCCUAAUACAUGCAAGUUGAGCGCUGAAGGUUGGUACUUGUACCAACUGGAUGAGCAGCGAACGGGUGAGUAACGCGUGGGGAAUCUGCCUUUGAGCGGGGGACAACAUUUGGAAACGAAUGCUAAUACCGCAUAAAAACUUUAAACACAAGUUUUAAGUUUGAAAGAUGCAAUUGCAUCACUCAAAGAUGAUCCCGCGUUUUAUUAGCUAGGUGGUGAGGUAAAGGCUCACCAAGGCGAUGAUACAUAGCCGAGCUGAGAGGGUGAUCGGCCACAAUGGGACUGGGACACGGCCCAAACUCCUACGGGAGGCAGCAGUAGGGAAUCUUCGGAAAAGGACGAAAGUCUGACCGAGCAACGCCGCGGGAGUGAAGAAGGUUUUCGGAUCGUAAAACUCUGUUGGUAGAGAAGAACGUUGGUGAGGGUGGAAAGCUCAUCAAGUGACGGUAACUACACAGAAAGGGACGGCUAACUACGUG
rnacentral:rRNA from 1 species